UUUUGUUUUUUAAUAUUAAACUUGUCAAUAGUUUUCCAGUGAUGGCCUUCCCUAGCUUUGUUUCUUUAAAAAUAUUUUCUCAAGUAUCUCUGCACACAUAUUUCUUUUCCCCCAAACUAGCACCCUUAUGUCCUUAGCACCUAGCUUAGUGUCUGCCAUAUUCCAGGUGCCUAAUGAACAUUUGUGGGAUGGCUAAAUGAAGGAAUUAAUGUAUAAAUACAUGAAAGCAACUUUCACAGUGUUUCCAGCUUCUCCUUCCCCUUCUUAGCCAUCAGUGAAAUAAAACAUAUAAAUGAGGAUCAAUUAAGUUAGCUUCAACUAGCACGUACAAGAAAAGCAAGGCAAAACUCUAAACAGUAAUAUGAAAGAAAAAAAAGAUCAUUAGGAAGGCACCUAAUAAUGAAAAUGAGGUCCCAUCUAACAUUAAGCUCUCCUAUGCCUAGCCCAGAUUUCUGGAUAGGGGCCCCACUGCCCCUUCUUAGAGAGCCCUGCUCUCCUAUCUUCUGGAGAAGCAGGUUGGGGAGUGAGCAUGGGAGUUUACUCUAGAACUUGGAUUGAAGGAGUAUGGUCCCUCUCAUCUCUACCCAGGGGCCCUACAACUGGCAGAGUCAGCCCCAGGGGUGAAUGUGUCUUCCGUUCAGUAUGCACAUGGGUACAUUGAUGAGGGGCAUCUGACAGGCUGGAGGCCCUUCGACCUUUAACCAAAACUAUGACUGCAGCAAACUGCUAUUGACUUCAUUCACUGGAGAGCUUGCCCAGAGACUUCCAGGAACAGUAUUUCUUUCCUGCUGGUGUUUUCAAUACCAGCAUCAUCCAUCGUGUUCCUCCUGCAGUUCACCCAACACUUCCAAUACCUAUUCUUCCUUACUGGCUUGGAUACCAUUAAGGAGAUGGAAGACAUUUCUACUAAAAUUAUAGAUGCAUUUAUUAUUUGACCAAGAUGUAUCCUACAGAUAUGCCUGCUCACAUAUGGAAUGUCAUUAUGUUCAAAGUGAUUCACUGCAACAUUGUAAUACUAAAAGACUGGAAAUAAAGUAUGUAACUAGAAGAAA